GGGGUCGAUUUGGAUUCGACGUCGGUAUCAAGAUUUUCUGGUGCAUGCCGUGAUGUCAGCGAAUCACGUAAACUCAAAGCUGAAAACGUUAUAGUUGCAAACGACGAUAACUAUGAAGGUUACGCACUAGCUGCAUAAACCUUUAACAGAGGUUCGCCCUCUGUCGGUCAAUAACAAGGUGCCAGUAUCGCGCUAUUGACUGUCAUAUAGAACUGGAUCGUAGCGAUGCUUGCUUGAGGCUGAGUUACUAAACAUUAUCAAGAUCGCGACUUACGUCCUGCCCAUCGGGCUGUAAGAAGCUAAAUCAAUUGAUGGAAUCUAAGCAUGUAGAGCCGAAGAUGGCGAACCGACGGACGCGGGUUCAAUUCCCGCCGACUCCACCA
rnacentral:tmRNA from 1 species